rnacentral:rRNA from 1 species
GGGCGCAAGCCUGAUCCAGCAACGCCGCGUGGAGGAUGAAGGUCUCGGAUCGUAAACUCCUGUCAGGUGGGACGAAGGCUGCGGGGUGAAUAAUCUGCAGUUUGACGGUACCACCAGAGGAAGCCCCGGCUAACUCCGCGCCAGCAGCCGCGGUAAUACGGAGGGGGCGAGCGUUAUUCGGAAUUAUUGGGCGUAAAGGGCGCGUAGGCGGCUUGACAAGUCAAAGGUGAAAUCCCUCGGCUCAACUGAGGAACUGCCUUUGAAACUGUCUGGCUUGAGGCCGGGAGAGGGUAGCGGAAUUCCCAGUGUAGGGGUGAGAUGCGUAGAUACUGGGAGGAACACCGGUGGCGAAGGCGGCUACCUGGACCGGUUCUGACGCUGAGGCGCGAAAGCGUGGGUAGCAAACAGGAUUAGAUACCCCGGUGGUCCUAGCUGUAAACGGUGGAUACUAGGUGUGGGGGGUAUUCGACCCCUCCCGUGCCGUAGUCAACACAUUAAGUAUCCCGCCUGGGAAGUACGGCCGCAAGGUUG